UAAGUAAAGGUUUCCAGUAUGUCACAGGAGACACUCUUGGAAAGGGCACCCUCAAAUCUGUUCAUUGUAAGGAAAGCUGUUCAACAGUUAGACGAUGGCAAUUCUCAGUGAAAUCUUCAUUAGGCCCUCCCUGAAAAUUCUCUUGUAUCCUGGAGAGCCCUACCUUUUCUGUGAUGUCACAAGUGUCAUGGUGACAGCAACUGCCUCUUGGAUAUUCUUUGAGGACCUCUAGGUUUAACUCAUUGACCCCUUAUUCUGGCUAAACAGUCAUUUGGGAGGGAGAUAAAAGAGAAGGAAGCUGGCCUUCUGCCUUUGUAUAAAAAAAAGGAAGAAAUAAAUGGUCCAUGGGAAAGUUCAGUGAGACUUGGGUAGGGUUUGAGUUGGAUUGCUGAAGAGAUAGCCUUGAUCUGAGCCUUCCACACAUGGGAAUCAGGAGUAGAAAUCGUCUCAGAAUCAUCUGGACUUCACUGCUUGCUGUGGUUCCUGGAAGUCACAGAGUUUAUAUAAUCAAUUUCUUCAUUCCAAAAGCCAGUUGUUGGGAAAGUUGUUCUACUGAGAGCUCAUGGCUUUUACUCUUUUUGUCCUGAAGAAAAUGGUCUGAAGAAACAAAGGAAAGACAAGUACUGUCUCUUCAGCUAAGUGUAAACGCCUCCAUGCUUUGGAUACCUGUAAUGGAGUUUGUGUCUGACAUUGAUAAUUGGGAAAGAAGAGCUUCUAGUUGAGACUUCAUCAUCUCAGACUUUCCACUAGUAUUACUCUGAAUACCAUUCCCUGAGAGUGACUCUUCAGAUUUCUCUGUCAAUGGGUUUGAUUAGCUGGUCAAGAAUUUAGAAUCCACAAAUGACGAAGCCAAAUAAACUACAUCCUAUCCUUAUGAACCUAUUGAAGUGGAAGAUUCACUGUACCGCAAGCCACUUUGCUCCCGUCCCAUGUCAUGAACCUUAUGUUUGGACUGAAGAAAGAAUCAUGGUAAAACAUCCAAAACCCUCAAGUCUGGCCCUGGAAACACAGGAAGUUAAAAGGAUAUCAUCUGUAAAAUGGAGCGCAGGAAACAUCUGUCUUAUUGGGACAAUGGCAUUAACCACAAAAACGUGACACAUAGAAGGACUAUUGGCCAUACCCUGUGGUAAAACUACCCAUUCUAGUCGUUGAUCAGGUUCUUCAUGAUUGCAUGAUGGAACAGUAAAAGCAAAUCUUUCACUAUCCCUUGGACAAAGCGGUAUAGAGAAAAAGCAAUCUUUUUUUUUUUUUUUUUAAGAUGCAGAAAGGAAAUUCCUCAUUUUUUCUUUACUCAUUAAAA